rnacentral:rRNA from 1 species
GGUUAAGCGACUAAGCGUACACGGUGGAUGCCCUGGCAGUCAGAGGCGAUGAAGGACGUGCUAAUCUGCGAUAAGCGUCGGUAAGGUGAUAUGAACCGUUAUAACCGGCGAUUUCCGAAUGGGGAAACCCAGUGUGAUUCGUCACACUAUCAUUAACUGAAUCCAUAGGUUAAUGAGGCGAACCGGGGGAACUGAAACAUCUAAGUACCCCGAGGAAAAGAAAUCAACCGAGAUUCCCCCAGUAGCGGCGAGCGAACGGGGAGCAGCCCAGAGCCUGAAUCAGUAUGUGUGUUAGUGGAAGCGUCUGGAAAGGCGUGCGAUACAGGGUGACAGCCCCGUACACAAAAAUGCACAUGCUGUGAGCUCGAUGAGUAGGGCGGGACACGUGGUAUCCUGUCUGAAUAUGGGGGGACCAUCCUCCAAGGCUAAAUACUCCUGACUGACCGAUAGUGAACCAGUACCGUGAGGGAAAGGCGAAAAGAACCCCGGCGAGGGGAGUGAAAAAGAACCUGAAACCGUGUACGUACAAGCAGUGGGAGCCUCUUUAAUGGGGUGACUGCGUACCUUUUGUAUAAUGGGUCAGCGACUUAUAUUCUGUAGCAAGGUUAACCGAAUAGGGGAGCCGAAGGGAAACCGAGUCUUAACUGGGCGUUAAGUUGCAGGGUAUAGACCCGAAACCCGGUGAUCUAGCCAUGGGCAGGUUGAAGGUUGGGUAACACUAACUGGAGGACCGAACCGACUAAUGUUGAAAAAUUAGCGGAUGACUUGUGGCUGGGGGUGAAAGGCCAAUCAAACCGGGAGAUAGCUGGUUCUCCCCGAAAGCUAUUUAGGUAGCGCCUCGUGAAUUCAUCUCCGGGGGUAGAGCACUGUUUCGGCAAGGGGGUCAUCCCGACUUACCAACCCGAUGCAAACUGCGAAUACCGGAGAAUGUUAUCACGGGAGACACACGGCGGGUGCUAACGUCCGUCGUGAAGAGGGAAACAACCCAGACCGCCAGCUAAGGUCCCAAAGUCAUGGUUAAGUGGGAAACGAUGUGGGAAGGCCCAGACAGCCAGGAUGUUGGCUUAGAAGCAGCCAUCAUUUAAAGAAAGCGUAAUAGCUCACUGGUCGAGUCGGCCUGCGCGGAAGAUGUAACGGGGCUAAACCAUGCACCGAAGCUGCGGCAGCGACACUAUGUGUUGUUGGGUAGGGGAGCGUUCUGUAAGCCGUUGAAGGUGGCCUGUGAGGGUUGCUGGAGGUAUCAGAAGUGCGAAUGCUGACAUAAGUAACGAUAAAGCGGGUGAAAAGCCCGCUCGCCGGAAGACCAAGGGUUCCUGUCCAACGUUAAUCGGGGCAGGGUGAGUCGACCCCUAAGGCGAGGCCGAAAGGCGUAGUCGAUGGGAAACAGGUUAAUAUUCCUGUACUUGGUGUUACUGCGAAGGGGGGACGGAGAAGGCUAUGUUGGCCGGGCGACGGUUGUCCCGGUUUAAGCGUGUAGGCUGAUUUUCCAGGCAAAUCCGGAGAAUCAAGGCUGAGGCGUGAUGACGAGGCACUACGGUGCUGAAGCAACAAAUGCCCUGCUUCCAGGAAAAGCCUCUAAGCAUCAGGUAACAUCAAAUCGUACCCCAAACCGACACAGGUGGUCAGGUAGAGAAUACCAAGGCGCUUGAGAGAACUCGGGUGAAGGAACUAGGCAAAAUGGUGCCGUAACUUCGGGAGAAGGCACGCUGAUGGUAGGUGAAGCGACCUGCUCGUGGAGCUGAAAUCAGUCGAAGAUACCAGCUGGCUGCAACUGUUUAUUAAAAACACAGCACUGUGCAAACACGAAAGUGGACGUAUACGGUGUGACGCCUGCCCGGUGCCGGAAGGUUAAUUGAUGGGGUCAGCCGCAAGGCGAAGCUCUUGAUCGAAGCCCCGGUAAACGGCGGCCGUAACUAUAACGGUCCUAAGGUAGCGAAAUUCCUUGUCGGGUAAGUUCCGACCUGCACGAAUGGCGUAAUGAUGGCCAGGCUGUCUCCACCCGAGACUCAGUGAAAUUGAACUCGCUGUGAAGAUGCAGUGUACCCGCGGCAAGACGGAAAGACCCCGUGAACCUUUACUAUAGCUUGACACUGAACAUUGAGCCUUGAUGUGUAGGAUAGGUGGGAGGCUUUGAAGUGUGGACGCCAGUCUGCAUGGAGCCGACCUUGAAAUACCACCCUUUAAUGUUUGAUGUUCUAACGUGGACCCGUGAUCCGGGUUGCGGACAGUGUCUGGUGGGUAGUUUGACUGGGGCGGUCUCCUCCUAAAGAGUAACGGAGGAGCACGAAGGUUGGCUAAUCCUGGUCGGACAUCAGGAGGUUAGUGCAAUGGCAUAAGCCAGCUUGACUGCGAGCGUGACGGCGCGAGCAGGUGCGAAAGCAGGUCAUAGUGAUCCGGUGGUUCUGAAUGGAAGGGCCAUCGCUCAACGGAUAAAAGGUACUCCGGGGAUAACAGGCUGAUACCGCCCAAGAGUUCAUAUCGACGGCGGUGUUUGGCACCUCGAUGUCGGCUCAUCACAUCCUGGGGCUGAAGUAGGUCCCAAGGGUAUGGCUGUUCGCCAUUUAAAGUGGUACGCGAGCUGGGUUUAGAACGUCGUGAGACAGUUCGGUCCCUAUCUGCCGUGGGCGCUGGAGAACUGAGGGGGGCUGCUCCUAGUACGAGAGGACCGGAGUGGACGCAUCACUGGUGUUCGGGUUGUCAUGCCAAUGGCACUGCCCGGUAGCUAAAUGCGGAAGAGAUAAGUGCUGAAAGCAUCUAAGCACGAAACUUGCCCCGAGAUGAGUUCUCCCUGAGACUUUAAGUCUCCUGAAGGAACGUUGAAGACGACGACGUUGAUAGGCCGGGUGUGUAAGCGCAGCGAUGCGUUGAGCUAACCGGUACUAAUGAACCGUGAGGCUUAACCUU